AUUGAACGCUGGCGGCAGGCCUAACACAUGCAAGUCGAACGAGUGGCGGACGGGUGAGUAAUGUCUGGGAAACUGCCCGAUGGAGGGGGAUAACUACUGGAAACGGUAGCUAAUACAGCAUCACAUCGGCUGUGCCCAGAUGGGGUUAGCUAGUAGGUGGAGUAACGGCUCACCUAGGCGACGAUCCCUAGCUGGUCUGAGAGGAUGACCAGUAACACGGUAACGAGGACACGGUCCAGACCUCUACGGGAGGCAGCAGUGGGGAACAUUGCACAAGGGGCGCAAGCCUGAUGCAGCCAUGCCGCGUGUAUGAAGAAGGCCUUCGGGGUGUAAAGUACUUUAAGCGAGGAGGCGUUACUCGCAGAAGAAGCACCGGCUAACUCCGUGCCAGCAGCCGCGGUAAUAC
rnacentral:rRNA from 1 species